AACAGGAUUAGAUACCCUGGUAGUCCACCCCGUAAACGAUNUCGACNUGGAGGUUGUUCCCUUGAGGAGUGGCUUCCNGAGCUAACGCGUUAAGUCGACCNCCUGGGGAGUACGNCCGCAAGGUUAAAACUCAAAUGAAUUGACGGGGGCCCGCACAAGCGGUGGAGCAUGUGGUUUAAUUCGAUGCAACGCGAAGAACCUUACCUACUCUUGACAUCCAGAGAACUUAGCAGAGAUGCUUUGGUGCCUUCGGGAACUCUGAGACAGGUGCUGCAUGGCUGUCGUCAGCUCGUGUUGUGAAAUGUUGGGUUAAGUCCCGCAACGAGCGCAACCCUUAUCCUUUGUUGCCAGCGGUUCGGCCGGGAACUCAAAGGAGACUGCCAGUGAUAAACUGGAGGAAGGUGGGGAUGACGUCAAGUCAUCAUGGCCCUUACGAGUAGGGCUACACACGUGCUACAAUGGCAUAUACAAAGAGAAGCGACCUCGCGAGAGCAAGCGGACCUCACAAAGUAUGUCGUAGUCCGGAUCGGAGUCUGCAACUCGACUCCGUGAAGUCGGAAUCGCUAGUAAUCGUAGAUCAGAAUGCUACGGUGAAUACGUUCCCGGGCCUUGUACACACCGCCCGUCACACCAUGGGAGUGGGUUGCAAAAGAAGUAGGUAGCUUAACCUUCGGGAGGGCGCUUACCACUUUGUAUUC
rnacentral:rRNA from 1 species